CUACCCUUGACAUGUCUGGAAUUCCGAAGAGAUUUGGAAGUGCUCGCAAGAGAACCGGAACACAGGUGCUGCAUGGCUGUCGUCAGCUCGUGUCGUGAGAUGUUGGGUUAAGUCCCGCAACGAGCGCAACCCUUGUCAUUAGUUGCUACGAAAGGGCACUCUAAUGAGACUGCCGGUGACAAACCGGAGGAAGGUGGGGAUGACGUCAAGUCCUCAUGGCCCUUAUGGGUAGGGCUUCACACGUCAUACAAUGGUCGGGACAGAGGGUCGCCAACCCGCGAGGGGGAGCCAAUCCCAGAAUCCCCUCCUAGUCCGGAUCGCAGUCUGCAACUCGACUGCGUGAAGUCGGAAUC
rnacentral:rRNA from 1 species